AUACACACAUACGUAUAUACGUAUGUGUGUAUAUAUACAUAUAUACACAUAUACGUAUAUACGUAUAUGUGUAUG
rfam:Gorilla gorilla gorilla genomic chromosome, chrX, whole genome shotgun sequence